rnacentral:rRNA from 1 species
AUUGAACGCUGGCGGCGGGCCUAACACAUGCAAGUCGAACGAUAACAGGAAGAGGCUUGCUUCUUUGCUUACGCGUCGCGGACGGGUGAGUAAUGUCUGGGAAACUGCCUGAUGGAGGGGGUUACCUACUGGAAACGGUAGCUAAUACCGCAUAACGUCGCAACACCAAAGAUAGGGACCGUCAGGCCUCUUUCCUUCGGCUGUGACCAGGUGGGAUUAGCUAGUAGGUAGGGUAACGGCUAACCGAGGCGACGAUCCGUAGCCGGUCUGAGAGGAUGAUCAGCCACACUGGAACUGAGACACGGUCCAGACUCCUACGGGAGGCAGCAGUGGGGAAUCUUGCACAAUGGGCGAAAGCCUGACGGAGCCACGCCGCGUGUAUGAAGAAGGUCUUCGGGUUGUAAAGCACUUUUAGCGGGGAGGAAGGGAGGAAAGUGAAUCUAUGCGCGUAUUGACGUUACCUGAACAAGAAGCCACGGCUAACUCCGUG